rnacentral:rRNA from 1 species
CCUACGGGAGGCAGCAGUGGGGAAUUUUGGACAAUGGGCGAAAGCCUGAUCCAGCCAUUCCGCGUGCAGGACGAAGGCCUUCGGGUUGUAAACUGCUUUUGUACGGAACGAAAAGGUUUCAGCUAAUACCUGGGACUCAUGACGGUACCGUAAGAAUAAGCACCGGCUAACUACGUGCCAGCAGCCGCGGUAAUACGUAGGGUGCGAGCGUUAAUCGGAAUUACUGGGCGUAAAGCGUGCGCAGGCGGUCUUGUAAGACAGAUGUGAAAUCCCCGGGCUCAACCUGGGAACUGCAUUUGUGACUGCAAGGCUAGAGUGCGGCAGAGGGGGAUGGAAUUCCGCGUGUAGCAGUGAAAUGCGUAGAUAUGCGGAGGAACACCGAUGGCGAAGGCAAUCCCCUGGGCCUGCACUGACGCUCAUGCACGAAAGCGUGGGGAGCAAACAGGAUUAGAUACCCUGGUAGUCCACGCCCUAAACGAUGUCAACUGGUUGUUGGGUCUUCACUGACUCAGUAACGAAGCUAACGCGUGAAGUUGACCGCCUGGGGAGUCGGCCGCAAGGUUGAAACUCAAAGGAUUGACGGCNGAGAGNGCGAGACGACGACGAGGGAGGAGG